UUGAGUACAGAAGAGGAAAGUGGAACUCCAUGUGUAUCGGUGAAAUGCUUAGAUAUAUUGAAUAAAAAAAAUAUAAAAGAAUGCUUUCUGGUAUUUUACUGACGAUGAGGCUCGAAAGCAUGGGUAGCGAACAGGAUUAGAUACCCUGGUAGUCCAUGCCGUAAACGAUGAAUACUAGGUGUUGGAGGGUUUCCGCCCUUCAGUGCCGCAGCUAACGCAUUAAGUAUUCCGCCUGGGGAGUACGACCGCAAGGUUGAAACUCAAAGGA
rnacentral:rRNA from 1 species